AUACUAAACCCUCAUCAGAAGGAGUUCAUCCGGAGUCAGAGAGCAUGGAAUGGUGCCCGACGCAAAAAUCGGGCGAAGCCCAGCCCCAGAUGCGGGUGCAUCUACAGAGCGAGGGACCUGGGGGGUUGAGGCGGAAGAACUCCCGGAACCGCUGGGAGCGAAAGAGCCGGAAGACAUUUCGAAUCACUUCAAAUGAAGACUCUAAAGAUUUCGAAGAAGACGGACAGGACAGGGGACGAGAGGCCAGAGG
rnacentral:lncRNA from 1 species